rnacentral:sRNA from 1 species
UCUCCGGACCUAAAAAGACUCAUGUUUUGACAAUUUGCAGCGGUGGAUCUAUGAUCAUGCACAUUAUUCCACCGAAUUGACCCUUGGGAAAAUGGAAUUUGUCAUUAACUAAUAAGGUAAUAUGUUUUAAGAAAUGGAUGACAGAAAGGCUGGAAAGCUCGAGGGUGGGGAAGAAGAGGUUUCCAUCAAUGAUGCGGAAGCUGGGGUCAAUCACAAAAGGCUCCAGGGAAUAUUAACCCUGGAAAGGGUAAUUGAUUAUUGAACAGGUGCCCGGGUAGCCUCACAGGUGAUUUAUCAUAUCUAUCGUGUCCUUGUGCGUGAGUUUACUUUGUAUUUG